CAAUGCUAAACUAUCUACUAUUGUAAAUAUUUACACAGUUAUAGUCAAUUUAGAAUUACUAUACUUUUUCAUUCGGUACAAUAUCUUGGAAUCUACUGCAAAGCUGCACCAUACAGCUAAUUGUCUAGCAUUUUUUAAUUUGCUACAUUCGUUCUAACAAUCAUGUAAAUAUUGUUACUCAUAUUCAGUUAAAUAAAAUGACAUAAUUGUCAUUCUUUU